GGAUAUCUUGGGCAAAUGAAGAUAUAUUGUCACCCAACCUGUAACUGACACAGGACUAAUAUCCAGAAUAUAUAAAGAACUCUUAGGAAAACAAAAUAUUUUUAUUAGCCCUUAACAGAAGAAAAACCCAAAUGGCAAAUAAAUACAUGAAAAUGAACAUACUGUCCACCAGAUUGGCUAAUUGGAGAAGGUAUGCAUAAAUGAGCUCCCAUAUAUUGCUGGUAAAAACCACUAUGGAAAACUUUGGCAUUAGUUAGUGCAACUGACAAUAUACAUAUUCCUAUAUCCAGCCAUUCUAAAUCUUAAACAUAAAUAGACAAGUUGACAGCAGUAUAUUCAUAAAAAGAAAUACAAGGAGAAAAGAUACCUUUAUAUGGAAAAAACAUUGGUAAAAACAUUAAAGAAUCAGACAAAAGGAUAUGUAACAUACGUUUCUGUUUAUAGUUCCCAAACAGGCAAGAUUAUUAUAUUUUGUUUAGGGAUGUAUACAUAACUGUUAAAGUAUAAAGCAAAGCAAAGACAUCAUUGCCCACAAAGUUAAAAUAAUGGUCAGCUUUGGGAAGGGAGGGCGAGGGAUAUCAGUGAUUUGGUAAGCAGGGAACUUACUAAGUUUUACAAAUGUUCUGUUUUUUGAGUUGCAUUAUGAUUACAUGUGUCUGUUGUAAAAUAACUUGUUAUGCUGUACAUUUUAUUUUUGCACUGUGCUUGGACUAUACAGCAGCAAGAAGAAUAGGCAGCUACAUGUCUUCAUUCCCCAUGGAAAGAUUACAAGUAGAGACUGACUAAAGAAAACUUUAUGGGAACUCUGAAAGGCAAAGGUCUACAAGAACCAAGCUAAUGCCCAAUCAAGGAAAAGUCACAUUCAAAAUGGUAAGAAAUUUUGUGGUAGUUUUACUCAGGAAGACUCUUUGGAAAAGUAAAAAAUUUAAAAGCGUGGUGUAACAGAAUAAAAACAAAUACACACAGGGCCUCAGGCAAGACCCUUACCAAGCAAAGUCCUGGAGGGUCUUUGGGGCUUCAUCGUGGGAUGAUGCUAAAGGUCAGAACACAUCUUACUAGUGAGUGGAGGUCCCUCCUGGCAUGGAGCCAGUCUGCAAAGACUGGGAAACUUGGCUGUUUUUCAGAUGUCCAGUUUUCAACAAAAGAUCACAAGGCAUACAAAGAACAAAACAUGGUCUAUUCAUAGGAAAAAAUGUGCAGAAACUGUCCCUUAACCUAAAGCAUCAGAUGUACUAAAGACUUCAAAAUACACUCAAAGAACUAAAGGAGAACACAGAAAAACCAAACAAAAUUGGAAAUCAACUAAGAAAUUAUUUUAAGCACCAAAUUCCAACAGGCACUUCAGGACAGCUGACUAGAAGCAUUUAGUAGUUGCCGCCUCCACCAAGAAGAACCACAGUGGUGAGUAGAUAAUCACACUUCAAAUAGAUCAUCCAAGAGAGAAUACUGGAAGUCAACAGCAAAGGGAUAGGAAAUACUUAAGAAGGAAGUGGGAACGCCUGCCUGUCCAGGAAUGUCUAGCAGUCAAAAGGGACUCCCCAGUACAGGGAAAAGGUAAGUGACAGACCAUCAGCAGUCCACAUUUCUACCAUGGACUCCUGCAACCCUACCAUGGGAGAGCCCCUUGAUCGUCACAGGCCCUGAAAUUAACAUAGGGAGCUGCCAGGAGAUUAUACUAUGGCACUGCUUCAGGGAGGAAGCUCACACUGGGUUUCACACACACCUUAAGACGUAAGCAGCUAAAGCAAGGCACUGUCUUAGAGCCUCCCAACAGUAGACCAUGUAUGUUCUGGAACCCAGCAAUGCCAGGGCUUGAGGCACAAGAGAAGUAUGGCUGCUGCUUCUAGGGUUUAGGCAUGAGCAACCUUGGGCAGUCAUACCAGGUCUGAGGCAUGGGUGAGGCACAGGCUACCCCAGCAUAAGCUAUUGCAUGAGUGAUACACGUGUUCCCCAUCUGCUGGCCUAGGCUGCCCACCACUGAAGGCUGCUGCCACCUACCACCAAAGCAUUCCACAGGUGGCUGGCAAGCAUACUCCUGCCUACCAUGGUUGGCACCUGAACUCACCACCAGGCAGCCUGAAGACAAGCCCACCUGGCCUGGCUUCACCUCCCCCUGACCCUGUGCCACAGCGUCACAGUACACAAUCCAAGGACCAAAGGAUUGCUUAGUACACUCCACCCCCAUUGGCACCUGAACACUCCUGCAAGGGGCCUGAGGUUGGGCCUACCCACCAGGCCACUACCAGCACUGAUGCACACCACUUGGACCCAGAUUGUUGUCCUACCACUAUUCCCGUCAUUGCCCAUGCCAUGCCAGCCACCCAGGGGACCAAGAACCUGCCUGACUGACUCAUUGCUGCCACUAUUAGCGCUUGAGUAAGCCACCUGGAGGCCCAAGAAUUAGCCUGCAUGGACCCACUAACACCAGUGCCAGCUUCCCUUGCCUUGAGCCAAGUGCAGACACAGCCCACUGUUGCCAGUAAUGGAGCCAAAAGACUAACCAACAUGGCAUACCAGGCCCCAGCAAAACAUCACCAAAGCCUCCACUAAUAACCUCACUCUAAGCCACCAAGGAAAUCACAGAUACCAUUGACUCCAUUUACUACUGAAUAAAUGAUACAGUAUGCUACUGCGUACACCCAGAAUCAAAGGGAAAGUGUCCUACCCAACCAGCAUCAUAGACACACCUUCAGGAAAAAGUCCUCUACAAAAGCAAAGUCAAAAAUUUGGAAGAAGCAACUGUUAUACCGAUGUAUAGAUAUCAACAUAGGAACAAAGAAAACAUGAAAAGUCAAGGAAAUUUGACAGCUCUAAAGGAACACUAAUUCUGCAAUAACAGAUUCCAAUCAAAAAUUCAUAAAAUCCAGGGGAAAAACUGAUUCUAAAGCAGCUCAGUGAGAUACACAAAAACUCUUAAAAAAAAAAAACCAAAAAUGUAAAGAUAUGAAUGAGAAAUUUACCACACAGAUCGAUGAUAUCAUAAAAAAGAAAAAAGCCAAUUCUGGAAUACAAGAAUUCAUUGGAUGAAAUACAAAAUACAUCCAAAAUCUUAAACAACCAAUUAGGUCAAGCAGAAGAAAUAAUCUCAGAACUUGAAGACAAGUCUUUUGAAAUAACUCAGGCAAAAAUAGAAAAUAAAAAGUAAUGAGCAAAAACUUCAUGACAUAUGGGACAACACAAAGCAAUGAAAUACUUGAAUUAUCAGGGUCCCAGAAGGCAAAGAGGGGAGAACUUUUCUAGUCUAGCAAGAGAUUUAGAUAUCCAGAUACAGGAGAUUCAGAGAUCCCUAAACAGAUAACAGUGCAAAAAGGUCCUCUCCAUAGCACAUUAUAGUCAAACUCAAAAGUCAAAGACAAGGAGAGAAUUCUAAAAACAAGAGAAAAGUGUCUAGUACCUAUAAAGGAACUCCCAUCAGAAUAACAGCAGACUUCUCAGCAGAAAUGUUACAUGCCAAGAGAGAAUAGGAUGAUGAUAUAUUCAAAAUGCUGACAGAAAAAAAAAAGCCCUGACAGCCAAAGAUACUAUAUCCAGAAAAAUUAUCCUUGCUAAAUAAAGGAAAAAUAAAAUAUUUCCUAGACAAGCAAAAGCUGAGAGAAUCACCACUACACCAGCCUUACAGAAAGGCUCAAGAGAAUCUUAAACGUGGAAGGGAACAGAUGCCAUUUACCAUCAUGAAAACAGGAAAGUAAAAAACUCACUGGAAAAGCAAAUGCACAAGUGAAAAGAACAAACUCACAUGGUACCACUACAGAAAACCACCAAACCACAAUUACAAUAAGAGAAAAAGAACAGGCCAGGCACAGUGGCUCAUGCCUGUAAUCCCAGUACUUUGGGAGGCCGAGGGGGGGAUCACAAGGUCAGGAGAUCAAGCCCAUCCUGGCUAACAUGGUGAAACCCCGUCUCUACUAAAAAUGCAAUAAAUUAGCCGGGCAUGGUGGUGGGCACCCAUAGCCCCAGCUACUGGGGAGGCUGAGGCAGGAGUAUGGCAAGAACCUGGGAGGCAGAGCUUGCAGUGAGCCGAGAUCGCACCACUGCACUCCAGCCUGGGUGACAGAGCAAGACUCUGUCUCUAAAAACAAAAACAAAAACAAAAAAAAAACAAAAAAAGAAUAUACAAAACAACCUAAAAACAACAGUAUGACAGAAACAAAACCUGACAUACUAGUAAUAACCUUAAAUGUAAAUCAGUUAAAUAUUGCAUUUAAAAGAUAUAGACUGCCUGAUGGGUAAAAAAACAUAACCCAACUGUAUGCUAACUACAAGAAAUGCACUUUACCUAUAGAAUUACAACAAAGAGAAGGGAAAACAUACUCCAUGCAAAGAGACAGACUCCAAUACAAUAAUAGUGGGGUGCUUCAACACCCUACUCUUAAGCAUUAGAUCAUCUAGACAAAAAAAAACAGCCAACAAAGAAACAUUGGAUUUAAACUGACCUUUGGAUCAAAUGGGCCUAACAUUAACACAGAACAUUUUAUCAAACAUUUGCAGAAUACACAUUCUUCUUUUUAGCACACAGAACAUUCUCCAAGAUAGACCAUAUUUUAGGCCAAAAAAAUAAGCCUCAACAAAUUUAAAGUAUCUUUUCAGACCACAAUGGGACAAUACUAGAACAUAAUGCUAAGAGGAAUUUUGAAAACUAUACACACAUAUAGAAAUUAAAUAACAUGAUCCUGAACAACCUAAUUAGGUCAAUGAAGAAGAAAUAAAAACAUUUAUUGAAACAAAUGAAAGUGGAAAUACAACAUCUUCAAACCUGUGGGAUACAGGAAAAGCAGUACUAAAAGGGAAAUUUAUAGCAAUAAAUGCCUGCUGCAAAAAAGAUUUCAACUAAAAACUCUAAUGAUGCACUUCAAGGAACUAGAAAAACAAAAACAAACCUAAUUGAAAAUUAGCAGAAAUAGGCCAGGAAUGAUGGCUCACGCCUGUAAUCCCAGCACUUCGGGAGGCCAAGGCAGGUGGAUCACGAGGUCAGGAGUUUGAGACCAGCCUGGCCAAGAUGGUGAAACCCAGUCUCUACUAAAAAUACAAAAUUUAGCCGGGUCUGGUGGCGGCUGCCUGUAAUCCCAGCUAGUCAGGAGGCUGAGGCAGGAGAACUGCUUGAACCCAGGAGGCAGAGGUUGCAGUGAGCUGAGAUCGCACCACUGCACUCCAGCCUGGGUGACAGACCAAGAGUCAGUCUCAGAAAAAAAAAAUUACCAGAAAUAAAGAUCAGAGGCGAAGUAAAUGAAGUAGAAAGUUAGAAAAUAACAAAGAAUCAAUGAAAUGAAGUUGGUUCUUCAAAAAAAAAACAAAACUGAUAAACUUAGCUAGAGUAAGAGAGAAGACCCAAAUAAAAUUAGAAAUGACGAAAGAGAUAUUACAACUAAUACCACAGAAAUACAAAACUUCCCAGACACUUAUAUGAACAAUAUGCUAACAAACUGGAAAAAUCUAGAGGAAAUGGAUAAAUUCCUGGACACAUACAACCUAACAAGAUUGAAACAGGAUGAAAUCAAAAACCGGAAGAGACCAAUAACAGGUAAUGAGAUGGAAGCAGUAAUAAAGUCUUCUGACAAUGCCCAGCACUGGAUGGAUUCACUGCCGAAUUCUACGAAACAUAAAAAAGAACUAAUACCAUAGCUGCAUGUGCUGGCAUGCUUGUAAUCACAGCUACUCUGGAGGCAAUCCCAACUACUCAGGAGAUUGAGGUAGGAGGACUGCUUGAGCCCAUGAGUUUGAGACUAGCGUGGGCAACACAGUGAAACCCCAUCUCAAAAAACAAAAACAAAAGUAAUACCAGUCUUUCUCAAACUAUUCCAGAAGAUUAAAGCAUCAGGGAUUCUUCCUAACUCAUUCUAUAAGGCCAGCAUUACCCUGAUUUCAAAAAGAGAUAAGGACAUAACAGCAACAACAACAAAAAAAUUGACAGGCCAGUGUCCCUGAUGACUCUAGAUGCAAAACUGAACAAAAUACUAGCAAAGUGAAUUCAAGAACACAUCAAAAAGAUAACACACCAUAAUCAAGUGGGAUUUACCUCAGGGAUGCAAGGAUGGUUCAACAUACACAAAUCAAUAAAAGUGAUACAUCACAUCAACAGAAUGAAGGACCAAAAGCAUAGGAUCAUCUCAAUAGACACAGAAAAAGCAUGUGAUAAAUUUCAAGAUCUCUUCAUGACUAAAGACUCAACAAACUAGGUAUAGAAGGAACAUGUCAAAAUAAGAAAGGCCAUAUAUGAAAAACCCAUAGCUAACAUCAUACUAAUGGAAAAGUGUUAAAGGCCUUUCCUCUAAGAAAUGGAACAAGACAAAGAUACCCAUUUUCACUACUCCUAUUCAACAUAGUACUGGAUGUACUAGCCAGAGCAAUCAGGUAAGAGAAGAAAAUAAAAGACAUCCAAAUUGGAAAAGAGGAAGCCAAACUGUCCCACUUGGCAUAUGACACAAUCUUAUAUUUAGAAAAUGAAAAGAAUCAACCAGAAAACUAUUACAGCUGAUAAGCAAAUUGAGUAAAGUUGCAAGAUAAAAAAGCAACAUACAAAAGUCAGUGACAUUUGCCUACACUGAUAAUGAAAUAGCCAAAAAGGAAAUCAAGAAAGCAAUUCCAUUUACAAUAGCUACAAAAAUAAUAAAAUACAUAGGAAUAUAUUUAACAAAGGAGGUGAAAAAUCUCUACAAAACACUGAUGAAUGAAGUUGAGGAGGACAAAACAAAUGGAAAGACAUUUCAUGCUCACGGAUCAGAAGAAGAAUGUUAAAGUGAGCAUGCUUCCCAAAGCAAUAUACAGAUUAAAUGCAAUCCCUAUCAAAAUACCAGUCAUUUUUUACAGAAAUAGAAAAAAAAAAUCCUAAGAUUCAUAUAGAACCAAUAAAGAGCUAGAAUAGCCAAAGCAAUCCUGACCAAAAAGAACAAAGGUGGAGACAUCACACUACCUAACUUCAAAUUAUAUUACAAGGGUAUAGUAUCCAAAACAUCAUGGUAUUGGCAUGAAAAUAGACACAUAAACCAACGGAACAGAACAGAAAACACAGAAUAAAUCCAUGUAUUUACAACCAGCUGAAAUCCUAGCACUUUGGGAGGCCAAGGUGGGCUGACUGCUUGAGUCCAGGAGUCUGAGACCAGCCUGGGAAACAUGGCAAAACCAUGUCUUUACAAAAAAUAGAAAUCAGCUGAGCAUGGUGGUGCAUGCCUGUCAUCCCAGCUACUGAGGAGACUGAGAGGUAGGAGGAGCACUUGAGGCUGGGAGGUCAAGGCUGCAGUGAGCUGUCAUCACACCACUGCACUCUAGCUUGGGUGAAAGAUUUUUUUUGCCUUAGUCUAGGGAAGACUUUAUGUCUAAAACCUCCAGUGCACAGACAACAAAAACAAAUGGACAUACCUGGUUAUUCCUUCCAGUAACAUAAAAAAUAGACAAAUGGGACUCUAUUAAACUGAAAUCUGCACUGUAAAAGAAACAGUGAAGACACAAACCUGUUGAAUAGGAGAAUAUAUUUGCAAACAUCCUCUGACAAAGGACUAACAGGCUACAUAAGGAACACAACAAUUUGUGAAAACACCAUUAAAAAGUGGGCAAAGAACUGAAUAGAUAGUUCUCAAAAGAAGACAUACAAAUGGCCAAUAAGUACAUUAAAAAGGCUCAACAUCAUCAGUCAUCAGGGAAAUGCAAACCAAAAUCACAGUGAGAUAUCUUAUCUCAGAAUGGCUAAUCAUUAAAAGACAGAUGCUGGCAAGAAGGCAGAGAAGAGGCAACUCUUACCCACUCUUGGUGGGAAUGUAAAUUAGUAUAGUCACUAUGGAAAACAGUAUGGAGAUCUCUCAAAAAACUAAAAUUAGAACUACCACACUAUCCAGCAAACCCAUUACUGGAUAUCUAUCCAAAAGGAAGGAAAUCAGUCUACCAAAAGGAUACCCUCAUUUACAUGUAUAUUGCAGCACUAUUCACAAUAGCAAAGAUAUGGAAUCAACCUAAGUGUCCAUCGAUACAUGAAUGGAUAAAGAAAAUGUGGUAUAUAUACACAAUGGAAUACUAUUUGGCCAUUAAUAAUGAAAUCAUGUCAUUUGCAACAACAUGGAUGGAACUGGAGGUCAUUAUGUUAAGUAAAAUAACACGGGCACAGAAAGACAAAUACAACAUGUUCUCAGUUGUGUAGGACCUAAAAACUUGAUAUCAUGGAGAUAGAGAAUAGAAUACCAGAGGUGGGGAGUGUGUGACUGGGAAAUGAAGAGGCUGGUGAAUGGGUACAGACUUAGAUAGAAUACAUCCUAAUGUUCACUAUUAGAGUAGGAUGAUUAUAGUUAGCAACAAUAUAUUGUAUAUUUCAAAAUAACUAGAAGCGAGGAUUUGAAAUAUUCCCAACACAUAGAAAUGAAAAAUAACCUGACAGAUACUCAUAUUACACGUGUAAUAUGUGUAAUACUCAUGAGUAUUACACAUAUUACAUAUUCUAUGUAUGUGCUCCAUAAAUAUGUAAAACAUUGUGUCAAUAAGAAAAAUAAACCAGAUUUCAUCACUGAAAAAAAUCACAAUUGAAAAAUUGACAAGAGACAUUUAACAGACUCAGAAUCAUAAACCUAGUCACUGGAAAUUGAUUCUGAGAAGCAAAAAAGAGAAAGGGAUAAAGAAAUGUGAACAGAACCUAAGGGACACCAUCAAGCAAACCAACAUAUGCAUUAAAGGAGUUCCAGGAGGAACAAAGACAGGCAGCAUGAUGGAGGAGACAAGGGCAGAAAACAUCAAAUUUGAAGAAAGACAUGAAUCUACAAAUCCAAGAAUUUCAUUAAAUUCCAAGUAGGAUAAACUGAAAGGGACCUGCACUAACACAUUAUAAUCAAACUGUUAAAGCCAAAGAGAGAAUCUUGAAAGCAGCAAGAGAUAUGACUUGUCACAUAUAAGCAAUCCUUAAUAAAAUUAUCAUCAGAUUUCUCAGCAGAUACCUGGGUAGCCAGGAGGCUGUGCCAUGAUAUAUUUAAAGUGCUGAAAGAAAAGUCUCAGCAAAGAGUUCCAUAUCUGACAAAACGGUCCUUCAAAAAUGACCGAAAUUAAGACAUUCUCCCAAAUGUCUUAAUUAUUUCGGGAGACAUGUCUCCCAAAAUUAAGACAUUCUCAGAGAAAGCAGCAGCUGGGGGCGAGUUCAUUACUACUAGACCUGCCCUUCAAGAAAUUCUGAAGGGAAUCCUAAAAUUUAAAAUGGAAUGCUUCAGAUAGUAACUGUAAGCCAUACAAAAAUAUGGAGAUCUAUAGUAAAAGUAAAUACAUGGACAAAUUGGUUGGUAUAAAUAUAACAGACUAUUGCAACUUUAGGCUGCUAAUGUAAUCUCUGUGUUAACCACAGAGAAAACAGUCCUAGAAUACAGAUCAAGGAAAUGAGAAUUAAUUACAAGAGAAAAAAAAUGGCUCAACACAAAAGGCAGUAAUGGAGGAAAUGAGGGGCAUGACACAUACAGAAAACAACGAAAUUACAAAGUCGGUCCUUCCCUACCAGUAAUUUCUUUUUUUAUUUUUUGAGAUAGAGUCUUGCUCUGUCACCCAGGCUGGAGUGCAGUGGUGCAAUCUCAGCUCACUAUACCCUUUCGCCUCCCAGGUUCAGGCAAUUCUCUGCCUCAGCCUCCCAAGUAGCUGGAAUUACAGGCAUGCACCACCACACCCAGCUAAUCUAUGUAUUUUAGUAGAGAUGACAUUUCGCCAUGUUGGCCAGGCUGGUCUUGAACUCCUGGCCUCAAGUGAUCUGCCUGCCUCAGCCUCCCAAAAUGCUGGGAUUACGAGUGUGAGCCAUUGCACCCCGCCCAGUAAUUUCUUGAAAUGUAAAUGAAUGGAACUCCAAUUGAUAGACACAUUUACAGAAUGGAUUUUUUAAAAAGAUUACAACUAUGUGCUGUCUACAAGAGACUCAUAUUUAGAUGGAAGGAGAUGCAUACGUUCAAUGUUAAAGGAUGGAAAAAACAGUAAUCACAGAGAAGUGGCUAUGCUAGUAUUAGACAAAAUAAGUCAAGCACUGUUUCAAGAGAAAAGGACAUUAUAUAUUGAUAAAAGGAUUAACUUACCAAGAAGAUAGAACAAUUAUAAGCAUCAUGCAUCAAAUAUCAGGGCUUCAAUAUAUAUAAAGCAAGCAUUGACAGACUUGAAGGGAGAAAUACUGUUCUACAAUAACAGUAAGAGAGUUUCAUACGCCACUUUUAAUGAUGGUUAAAACAACCUGACAGGAUCAAUAAGGAAACAGAGGAUUUGAACAAUGUGAUAGGCCAAAUGGACCUAACGUACAGAUCACCCAACAACCAGAGAAUGUAUACUUUUCUCAAGUGUACAUGGAUUAUUCACCAGAAUAGAUCAUGUUAGGCCACAAAGCAACUCUUAAUACAUUUUAAAGGGCAGAAAUGAUAAAGUAUCUUCUUUAAUCACAAUGCAAUGCAAUUAGAAGGAAAACUGGGAAAUCCAAAUGAACACACUUUUAAGCAACCAAUGUGUCAAAUAAGAAAUCACAAGGCAAACUAUAGAAUAUCUUGUGACAAAUGAUAGUAAAAUCACAAUAUGACAAAACUUACAGGAUGCCAUGAAAGCACUGCUGAAAAAGAAAUACAUAUUAAUAGCUGUAAACACAUUUAAGAAGAUCUCACAUCAACAACCUAAUUUUACAACGUAAAGAACUAAAACUAAACCCAAGGCUAGCUGAAGGAAGGAAAUAAAAAUUAGAGCAGAAAUAAAGAACAGAAACAUACAGAAAAAAAAAUCAACAAAACCAAGAGUUAAUUUGUCAAAAAGAUCAACAAAAUUGACAAACCUUUAGCUAGAUUGACAAAGAAAAAAAAAUAACUAAAAUUAGAGAUGAAAGUGAAGACAUUACUACCAGUUCUACAAAAAUAAAAAGGAUCCUAAGAAUACCAUGAACAAUUGUAUGCCAACAAAUUGAAUAACCUAGACGAAAGGGACAAACUCCUAGAAACACACAACCUACCAGGAUUGAAUAAUAGAGAAACAGAAAAUCUAAUUCAUCUUAUGAGGCCAGCAUGCUCCGGUACCAAAGCCAGAAAAGACACAAGACAACUACAGAUCAACAACCAUUAUGAAUGAAUAUUGAUUCAAACAUCUUCAGUGUAAUACUAGCAAAGCAAAUUCAACAGCAUAUUUAAAGGAUUAUUCACCAUGAGAACAUGGAGUUUACUCUUAGAAUGCAAGGUGGUUCAACAUAUGAAAGUCAGUGCAAUGCACCACACAUUAACAGAAUAGAGGGGGGGAACCACUUGAUCAACUCAUGCAGAAAAAGCAUUCUGACAAGAUACAACACCCUUUUAUAACAAAAACACUCAGCAAAAUAGAAGUAGAAGGAAAGUACCUCAACAUAAUGAAGUCCAUAUAUGAAAAACCCACAACCAAUCUCAUAAUAGUGAAUGGCUGAAACCUUUUCCAGUAAGAUCAAGAACAAACAAGGAUUUUUUUUUUUUUUUU
rnacentral:lncRNA from 1 species